UUGAUUUCAAAACUGGGAUGUGCUGGUCUCCUUUCAAAGGGGGACAAUUAGUGCACUCUCAACCUUGAUAAUCCACCCUGUGCACAUUCUGUAGAUGAGAGGGUUGAUUUCAAUCAUCUUGUCUACAUUUUUUAACACACUCAAUAUAUAUUAAUGGAUGGUCGUUUGAAAUAUUAAUA
rnacentral:misc_RNA from 1 species